rnacentral:rRNA from 1 species
UACGUAGGGGGCUAGCGUUGUCCGGAUUUAUUGGGCGUAAAGCGCGUGUAGGCGGCCAGAUAGGUCCGUUGUGAAACCCGAGCUCAACCUCGGGACGCCGACGGAACCAUUUGGCUAGGGUCCGGAAGAGGAGAGUGGAAUUCCCGGUGUAGCGGUGAAAUGCGCAGAUAUCGGGAAGAACACCCGUGGCGAAGGCGGCUCUCUGGGACGGUACCGACGCUGAGACGCGAAAGCGUGGGAGCGAACAGG